UUUCUUUUGAUUUUGGAGAAUUAAAAACUUUAAAUUUGUUUAUACAUGUUAGUGAAAGCAUAUAAAUGAGUAUAAUUGAAAAAUUUUCAUAAAGUAUCAGGUUAUAAAAAGUAAUUUAUUUAUAGCCUAAGACACUAAGCAUAAGCCAUGUAUUUACUGAAACAAAGAAAUAUCUAUAACAGCAGUAAAGAAUUCUAUACAAUUAAUGUAAAUUAGAUAUGGGUUAUAUUAAUUAAUUUUGUCAAAUUAAGUGCCAGCAGACGCGGUUAAACUUAAGAUAUGAGUUUUUAUAUAAAAUCAAGUUUAUCUGUAGAUAUUUAUUUAUUAUAAUAAUUAUAUGAUUUUUGAUUAGGUUAAAUUAACAAAAAUAUAAAUUCAAUUUAUAAAUAAAAUUAUUAAAUAAAUUAAAAGAUGAAAAAUUUUUAGUUAAAUAGGAUUAGAUACCCUAGUAAACUUUUUUGUAAAUGAAAAAAUUUUAACUUGAAUAGUAUACUUUUUAAUGAAAAUCAAAAAUUUUGGCUGUUUAUUUUCUAUUUAGAGGAAUAUGUAAUUUAAUUCGAAAAUACGCGAAAAACCUUACCUAAUUUUGAAUAAUCAAGUAUUGCAUGGUCGUCAUAAACUUAAAUAUAUAAUUUAGGUUUAAUCCUUUUUAGGAAUAUGUCAGAUAAUAUGGUCUUUAUAAUUAGGGAUAUUAUGUAUUACAAUUAUUAAAAAAAUUAAAAUUUAAUAAUAAAUAAUGAAAUAAGAAAAAAGAGAAUUUAAUAGUAAUUAAAAAUAUAAAGUUUUAAUGAAUUAGUUCAAAUAUGAGUACAAAUUGCCCGUCGCCUUUUUCUUUAAGAAAGAGUAAGUCGUAACAUAGUGGGAGAAAGGGAACUUUUUCCUGAAA
rnacentral:rRNA from 1 species